rnacentral:rRNA from 1 species
CCUACGGGUGGCAGCGGUCGAGAAUCAUUCACAAUGGGGGAAACCCUGAUGGUGCGACGCCGCGUGGGGGAAUGAAGGUCUUCGGAUUGUAAACACCUGUCAUGUGGGAGCAAAUUAAAAAGAUAGUACCACAAGAGGAAGAGACGGCUAACUCGGUGCCAGCAGCCGCGGUAAUACAGAGGUCUCAAGCGUUGUUCGGAACCACUGGGCGUAAGGCGUGCGUAGGAUGUUUCGUAAGUCGUGUGUGAAAGGCGCGGGCUCAACCCGCGGAAGGCACAUGAUACUGCGAGACUAGAGUAAUGGAGGGGGAACCGGAAUUCUCGGUGUAGCAGUGAAAUGCGUAGAUAUCGAGAGGAACACUCGUGGCGAAGGCGGGUUCCUGGACAUUAACUGACGCUGAGGCACGAAGGCCAGGGGAGCGAAAGGGAUUAGAUACCCCUGUAGUC